rnacentral:lncRNA from 1 species
GCAGCCUCAACCUUCUGGGGCUCAAGCCAUCCUCCCAUCUCCAUCUCCUGAGCAUCUAGGAGUAUAGGCAUGUACCACCAUGCACUGCUAAUUUUGUUUAUUUUUUUGUAGAGAUGAGGUCUCACUAUGUUGCACAGGCAGGUCCCAAACUCCUGGCCUCAAGCGAUCCUCCUGCCUUGGCCUCCCAAAAUGCUGGGAUUACAGGGUCUCACUCUGUCACCCAGGCUGGAGUGCAGUGGCUGGAUCAUGAGUCACUGCAACCUUGACCUUUCAGGCUCAAGCAUCCUCUCACCUCAGUCUCCUGACUAGCUGCAGGCAUGAAUCAAUGUGCCUGGCUAAUUGUCUUAUUUUUAUGUUAUAGAGAUGGUGGGGCGGGGGGGGGUCUUCAUUUUUCAGACUGGUCUCAAACUACUGGUUAUAGUUUUAUAACUUUCUGUGCCACACUCUGAUGCCCCAAAAUAUCUAGCAGAGACAAACAUAAAACCCCGAAAAAAUGUAUGCUGACAAUUCUGAAGACAUUUCUAUUUUUAUCUUACAAUAAUUUUAAUGCUAGCUUCUUAAAAAUUUACUUAAGUAACGUGAAUGUAAAAAAUACUUUGGACUUAUUUACUUAAUCUAGGAGUGUUCUUUUAUGUAUAAGCCAAUUUGGUAGUCACAACAUAUAAUGUAAUACAUGUGCAUACACAUAAACACAUCUAGAUGUAUAUACACACAAAGAUCCAAAAGCUUUUACCUUGGAACUCUAGCCAUGAGAUAGUAAUACAGUCUCAACUGUCUGCAAACAUGUCCACAUGGCUGAACUUUGUUAGCCUUGAUAGGUAAUCCAGGGAAGGCUGUGAAACAAAUUUUAAAUAAAAUGAGUUUCUGUGGCAGUUUGAUUUUUAAAGGCCAAAACUCCCUAUACUCCCAAAACACUGGGGUCAAAAACGGCACCGCAUGAGAUCAUCACAUAUUAACCUGGCCCGACCCUGCUUAAAACAGCAGCACAAAAUCCCACUUUCCCAUUCAACAGCAAACUCCAGAUUCCAAACUAUACUGGAGCCAAACAGUGUCACAAAAGAGUACCAGUUUAUCAAAUUCGAAUUUCCCAUGACUGUAUCAGACACAUGCAAACAAUUACUAAAACACAAUCCAACUGCUGCAGCAUCAAACAAGCCCCAAAAGUCUACGAUGUGAAAGAGUUGUGGUGCUUCCUCUCUCCAUUGGUUGGGCUCAAUCGACCUGAAAUAAAAAUUCCUUCAGAAUUUCUCAGAUGGAGAGGAGCAGAUCCCACUGUCUGGUUCCCACAAAUGACACUCACUUGCCUGGAUACACACACAAUGACAAACAAGCUCCUAAGAGUGUCCGUACUGAAAUAGUCAGGGUACUUCCCUCUCUUCAUCAAUUGGGCUUGUUCAACCUGCAAGUGGAAAUUCCUUUAAAAAUUUCCCAAACUGUGAGGAGGAGAUCUUUCUGUCUGGGCCCACAGAGGAGAGUCACCUAUCUGGAUGCAAAUAUCAAAUUUCAAAGGCAGUUCUCCCAAGGCAAUCAGGAACAUGGUUGGGGCCAGCUGUGGCUGGCCCUAGAGAGAGGGUACUCAUCUCUAGCCAAAAUUGGGUAAGCAGCUGCUUAGGAGGACUUUGAGAUUCCCCGCCCAUGGUAGCUGAGCCAAAGUGUUCCUGGUUGGGGAAUCAAAAUCUGUUAGUGAAACACCAGGGGUGUGGUCUAGCUCCAGCUGCUCACUGCACAGAAAACCAAUUCAUAUCAACAAUUCUUGCCAAGGGAGAAGGCUGAAUCAGAUGCUGUAGGAGAGGAGAUGGUAGUUCAGUGUCAAAUCCAUCUCCCUGACCAGCUAAAAUUAUGAGUUUACAUAGCAGGGAGGAAAAGUAACCAUGUGUAGAAAAACAGGAACUCAGGAGACCUAAGGAAGCAAUCAUAAUGUAUGAGGGGUCUGGUGUGCCAUCAUCUGGAUGGAAUCAUCUGGUGAAUUUCAGUUCUUUUAUACUUUUUGAGGGACCUAGGGGUCCUUUACCAAGGAUGAAACUCAUAGAAAACAAAUAAAAGUUUCAAGCUUUAAGACCAGAAUGGUCAAUUUCUAUGUUUAUACAAAAAACUAUCCAUGGGACUACAGGGGAGGUUUCAUUUCGAGUGCCAGUGCUAGCUGCAGUCGGCCUCAAGUCUGCCUAGGCUUCUGUCAAACUGUCUCAGGACCUUGGCCAGGAGAAUAGCUUCCUCUCCCAUCUGUGGGCUCCUCUCCCAUCUGUAGGGCUGCUGAGAUAGCCAAGUUCUUAGAAUACCUCAGUUCCAGAGCAGACUCCUUUGUAUCAGCCUUUCAGACCAGCUCUGGACUCUCUCUAGAUCUCAGCCCAUGCUUAUGGUGUGCAGGGGUAUAAGGCGGAACUAGACCCCUAUGACUUCCUCCCAGAAACACAUGCUAUCUGACAGAGUGGUUACUCUGCAAGACUCCAGCAGGGGAUUCUCCAAGUCCACUUCUCUGAUGUAGCUAAUCUAUGGAUCAAAACUGAAAGGUUUAGCCUUCUGUGUCACUGCUUCUGGGCCCUCUGGGCCUAGCUCAGCUCUGAUAUCAGUCCCAUCAUACUCAGUAUUAGUCAUAAGUGACUUCCCGAAACACUCAUUGCAGCUUGGAUUCUGGCACAAACAUGGGAUCUCUGAAUGGAAGCAAUGAAUUCUGGUUUUACUGGUGCUGAGGUUAUGCUAAUCAGUUUUGGGGUUUUCAGUCUGUGUGAGAGAUCUCUGAUUCUAGGUCUCUCCAACUGCUUAGCCCUGAAUCUUCUUCCAACCUUUGGGAAACCACAGGUCCUUCAGGGGGUCAUGGUGGAGUAGACACCUAGGAUACAAUUUAGGCAUGGCCCCACUUUCAAAAAGGGUCCCAAAUAUGAGAUUCCAGCUGUAUCACCAAUGAUAUCACCCAUUGAAACUCAGGCAGAAUGAAGAGAACACAUUCACCAUCAGUUACAUGCUGGCAGAAGUCAACCCUGAAUCAAUGCUUUAUAAUUCCUGUACUGAUCUUGUGAGUAGAACAACAGUAUUGCAUGGCAUUUUUGUGGUUGUAAGCAUACAUUUAUAAAAUACACAGAUUUUAAAGCCAUUAUAUUAUCAAUGUUUUGAUCUAUCUUUAUUUUUUGGUAUACUUCAUACUACAAAGAGUGGCAAUAAGCUGG